UCAAACAAGCCCAUUUUCAGGUCCAUCUCAUGUGCAAUGACUGCCAUGAGCACAGCAGGCCAAACUCCACUCCGAGAGCCCAUUCUCGGAUCAACGACAUUCUCGGGGUCACACAGAGCAGGAAAACCAGAGACUGAGAAGUUUACGGAUGAUUUGAGUGAAGAGACAAACAAAAGGACAUAGAGAGAGCAAGAGAGAAGGAGAAAGAUCAUUAGAGCUUCUGGAAACGGUUCAAGUCAUUCUCAUGUACGAGAGGUAUCCAGAGGGACUGUUGUGUGGGCCUUGGCAACAGCGGUUCCCCCGGAUCUGCAGUGCUGUCACACAUGGAUGGAGGCAGAAGAACAAGAGGGGAACAUGAUACCUCGGGGAGUGCGGCACACGACCCUGAGAUGACCCUGACAUAACCGUGCAGUUUUGACAGGCGCUUAAUGGCUUUUCCACAGCGGAGGGCCCCAGGAAUGUGCAGGCUGGGCUCCGGGUAAAGGAGCGGCGCAGGACCGGGAUGGCCACAGAUGUCAUGCCGCAGCCUCUCUGUCUCUUUUUCCACUCCAUUGAGCUUGUUACAGCCGCUCUCCAAACGCACCCUGCCUCCACAUCCUCUUCUGAACACGGCCCUCUCCGCAUGAGCCGGGAGCAUGGGAGGCCGCUGGAAAUGGGUUGUGAAAAAGGGCUCCCAGGGCUCACGUGAAGAGUGAAGGGAAAGAAAGAGAGGAGAGAACGACCCAGCACACCUGCAGGACGACCGGGCGCUUCACUGUGCUCAGGCCCAUCCAGUGGAUCGGUGGUCAUCUUGUCAUGACUUUUGCCCUCGCCCCCUUCGGGCCGCCCACCUGUCUCCCAUCAUGCCCUCCGUACGUCUCUGCCGGGCACCUCCCAAAAUCAGCAGUACCUCUUGGGCACAGCCUCCCAUUAAAGACAUCUGUGCAUAGGCGAUGAGCAGAUAAAUCAUUUUUGCAGAACAAUUUUGAUAAAUGAGCUGUUCGCUUUGGAGUGUCUGUGCUUCUGCGCUCCUUUACCCCAGUGGUCCACGGUCUCUGUUUCCAACAUGCUGCAGGCUUAUUUUAAACCCAUGUAUACACACACACACACACAUACACACAUGCCAAAACCACCUCCUGCCAACAGCAAAGGUAGAGGAAGUUGGAAAGAGCUUUAAAUAAGGAAAUGUUUUGAGGCAAGUAUUGCAUUAUUUGGCAAGUAAUACUUCCAGUUAACAUUAACAACCUAAUUUAGACAUAAAUUAACACAUUGGGGAGACUGGCUAGUUGCCACACUAGGAAUUGGUCACCAGGGCUAUAUCUCAACUGUAAGGAGUCAAAAGUCUACACAACUGUGUGUUUUCUUUAACAGUGAUAUGUUGGCUUUACCCGUUUAUUACAAUAUCAUCUUAUUUUUUAAUGGGUAAACAAGGAACAUGGUGAUACCACUUUGGGAU